rnacentral:rRNA from 1 species
AGGGUGUAAACGCUGCAGACUUGGUGUUGGAGGCCCUUUGGGGGCAUUCAGUGCCGGAGAGAAGUUGUUAAGUCUGCUACUUGGGGAGUACGUCCGCAAGGAUGAAACUUAAAGGAAUUGGCGGGGGAGGCACCGCAACGGGAGGAGCGUGCGGUUUAAUUGGAUUCAACACCGUAAAACUCACCAGGGAAGACUGUUACAUGAAGGCCGAGAUGAAGACUCUGCUAGAUUUUCUAGAGAGGAGGUGCAUGGCGUCAGUGACU